GACUACUUCAUGUGUAGGAGUGGUCACCUUGAGUGGUCCGGUAUAGACCACAAUUGCUAAUGAAUUAUGGUGCGCCUCACUUGUUACCUCUACAGCUUCCACUAGUCUAGCUUCAUCUCACUCCAGAUUAUCAUUAGUUGCAUCCACAAACUCGAAUGCAUUGAAAAUUUUCUCAACAGAUUAUUUUUCCGUAGCUUCUGUCUCAGUAUUUUCUUCAUCAGCCUUCUCAUUUACAACUUCAACACGAAUGUCAUUCUCUUCC
rnacentral:lncRNA from 1 species